GACGAACGCUGGCGGCGUGCUUAACACAUGCAAGUCGAGCGGAAAGGCCCUUUCGGGGGUACUCGAGCGGCGAACGGGUGAGUAACACGUGAGUAAUCUGCCCUUGGCUUUGGGAUAACUACCGGAAACGGUGGCUAAUACCGAAUACGACCACUCCUUGCAUGAGGUGGUGGUGGAAAGUUUUUUCGGCCAGGGAUGUGCUCGCGGCCUAUCAGCUUGUUGGUGGGGUAAUGGCCUACCAAGGCUUCGACGGGUAGCCGGCCUGAGAGGGUGACCGGCCACACUGGGACUGAGCCAUGAUC
rnacentral:rRNA from 1 species